UCUGGCUCAGAGGUGGUGUUUGGAAUCUUCCAGGUAGAAUCAUGAUUUGCUGGGUGGUCAAGCUGGAGACGUAAGUUGGAGAGGCCAUCAGAGUGCAGUGAAUCAUUUCUGUUGGAGUCUACCAAGGCAGACAGACCCUGAAUGAUCCCAUUUUCCUGACUGAGUGCUACCCACAUCAAGACAGUCCUAUGCAGAAGACAAAGCACUGUCUUCACCACUAAUCUAAGUUGACUGAUGAGCUCCAGACAGGGACAGUUCCACCACCCCACCUCAGCAGCACAGGCUGAGCCAGGAGAGAUGAAGCGAGGACUGGGGCGCAGCAUCUGAGUCCUAGGGAAGGCACUCAGCACUGUUAAUGAACUUUACCAAACUGUAUGGGUCUGUACAGUGGGAAGCUUCCAACCAUGAGUGCAGACUUGAGCUGCUGGAUUAUGGGACCAGGAAUGGCAAGAGAAUUGUCAGUGGUCACUGGUCCUGUCCCUAUGGCGUCUCCACUGGCACAGCUCAGAGGGAAACUGUAAGGUCACAAGAGUUAACAUUCAACCUUUGUAGAAAAACAUCUUAUUUCAGCCCGGAGUAGUUCAUUUUGGUUUAUGAAAUAAGGACCAAUGGAAGAAAUCAUUAAAAUAAUUAAAAAACAGAUUUAAUACA